GUCGAUCUAGAUAAUUCUAGGAUCGUAUAGAAGUUGAUGGAUAGUUAAUCGGAGUUCCGGAUACUCCGAAAAUGCCAACCUUAGGGCUAGGUUUACAGUAACCGUGCGAUCGUGAUUAAUCCGACCGUUCGAUCGAUAUCAAACUCACGGGACAUGUGUCUUAGGCAUAUUAGAACAUUUAGGGGUCGUUUGGUAUGGCGGACUGUCAUGGACUGGACUAAAGCCUGGGACUAUCUUGGAUUAGCUCGGAUUGGACUAAGCUGGAUUAAGUACUGACCUAUGUUUGGUGCUGUAUCGGACUAAGAAACUGGAUUGUAAAAAUAAUGAAGACCUAUGUUUGGUGUUGUGUCGGACUAAAAAUAAUUAUUUUAAUAAUUAAUUUUAAUUAAUAAAAAAUUAAUAAAAUUCUAUUAUUUAAUUUUAAUUAAGGCUUUUUUGACAUAAAAAUAAAUAAAAAGAAGACAAAUAAAUUCUAACAUUUUUAAUAGGCUUAAACUAUCUUAUCUCUCUCUCUCUCUCUUUUUUUUUUUUUCUUUUUCUCCUUUUCUUUCUUCCUUCCUCUUUUACCCAUUGACUUUUCUUCUUCCUUCCUUCUUGGCCCGUUCCUUUCUUCUUCUUUUUUCCUUCUUCCUCCUUUCUUCUUCCUUCCUAAGCCUCCCCUUUUUUUUUCUUUCUUCCUUUCCAGGCUGUUCCUUCUCUUUUCUUUCCUUCUUCCUAUGCUUUCCUUUCUCUUUUCUUCUUACUUCCUUCCUUUUCACUCUCUCUUCAUGCCUCACCCCAAAUUUUAAGAGGGCCAGAUCCAUUUCUGGGUUUGUGGUGGCUACAAACACCCACCCCCCUCUCUCUUUGGUUCCACUAAUUAAUGGUUGUGGUGGUUCAAUUGGGUGGUGAUGGUUGUUGAACUGAGUAUGUGGUGGCUGAUUAUGGGUGGUUUUGAUGCUUUGUUUGACUGACUAGGUGGUGAUGAUGGUUCAAUUGGGUCUGUGGUGCUGGUUAUGGGUUUGAUGGUGGUGGUCUGAUGAUCGUGGACUCAUGGUGGUGGUGGUCAAGCUUGUGUAUUUGAUGGUGGUGGUGGUAUCCAGUCGGACUGGCAUGUUCAAAAUAGCGAUGGUGCUAUUUUGAGAACCAUAUUUCGGGCUCGCUCUAUUAGCCAAGCGAGUCCCAUAUUUUUUUUCCCUUUGGACUAUACAAUCCCAUUUAAACUAAUCCCCUCCCUUACCAAACAUGGGUUUCAGGGACUAUUUAACAUAGUCCAAUCCAGUGAGGCAUAGUGAGGCAUGCCAAACAUGCCCUUAAGGACUUCCAGAUUUGUGAGGAAGGUUUGCAGCUCAGAUAGAAGGGGUAUCUCUAAGACCUGCGAGGGGGGAAUUGCAACUCGGAUAGAAGGGGUAUCUUCAACACCUGCGAGAGUGGAAGGAAAUGCUGCUCGAAUAGAAAGGGUAUCUCCGUGACCUGCGAGUUGGGGGGGGGGGGGAGAGGGGGGGAAUGCGGCUCGGAUAGAAGGGGUAUCUCCGAGACCUGCGAGGGGAAAAUGCGGCUCGGAUAGAAGGGGUAUCUCUGAGACCUACGAGGAGGGAAUUGUGGCUCGAAUAAAAAGGGUAUAUCCUAGGUUUGCGAGGAUUACGACUCAUAAAAAGGGUAUAUCCUAGGUUUGCGAGGAUUACGACUCAGAUAGAAGUGAUGUCUUCGAGGCCUACGAGGAUGGGAUUGACGGAUCAGGAAUGGGGGUACGCCUAGGAGGAGAGAAUUUCAGUUCAAAGGUAUUCUUAAACUAAACUAAAUGGAGUUUAGUGCUUGACGUAUUUAUAUUCGAUAUAUGAUUGAUACGAGUAUUUGAAAGAACUACGUGUGGCUUGAAUAAAUUCCGGCAAUCAGAAAUCUUCAAAAUUGGAAACCCAGCUUCUUAUCCUUAGUAAAACACCCUAUUUGGAACCACUUUUGUUCUUGGACCUACCCCAAAAAGUGACUGAAAAUGGCCGGAACCGUGAUCCCAAAACCGACUGAAAACUAAUUCUAAAAUCGUACUACCUAGGCUUAAAAUUAAUAAAUUCCUACCCAACCAUCAGCUAGAUCAUGAAAAAUAGGUAAGAAAGCAUACUUCACUAGCAUGUAACGGUGGCCGAAGGUGGGAGAACGAGCCGUUGAAAGUUUACGAAAAAAAAACUAUCCAAAACC
rnacentral:lncRNA from 1 species